CCUACGGGAGGCAGCAGUGAGGAAUAUUGGUCAAUGGGCGCGAGCCUGAACCAGCCAAGUAGCGUGAAGGAUGACUGCCCUACGGGUUGUAAACUUCUUUUAUAAAGGAAUAAAGUGAGGCACGUGUGCCUUUUUGUAUGUACUUUAUGAAUAAGGAUCGGCUAACUCCGUGCCAGCAGCCGCGGUAAUACGGAGGAUCCGAGCGUUAUCCGGAUUUAUUGGGUUUAAAGGGUGCGUAGGCGGAAUGCCAAGUCAGCGGUAAAAGCGCGGGGCUCAACCUCGCUCCGCCGUUGAAACUGGCGUGCUUGAGUGGGCGAGAGGUAUGCGGAAUGCGUGGUGUAGCGGUGAAAUGCAUAGAUAUCACGCAGAACUCCGAUUGCGAAGGCAGCAUACCGGCGCCCAACUGACGCUGAAGCACGAAAGCGUGGGUAUCGAACAGGAUUAGAUACCCUUGUAGUC
rnacentral:rRNA from 1 species